ACGGUGGUGAGAUGAAAAAAAUGAAAGAGAACCGACAUAGCUUUUCGUGUCGAUUCCCACAGACGGCGCCAAAUGUUGAUGCACAAAACCGAAGGGGUCUUGGAACAAUGUAAAUCUGCAAGAAAGUAAAGAACACAAGAUGUAUCGUGGUUCACCCCAAUGUUUGGGCUACGUCCACACUGAUGUUGAUAUUGUUUCACUCUAAAUGGUGAAUAUACAAGAAGGCUAGAGGCAGUGUGCUCUCUAGCCUAUUUU
rnacentral:lncRNA from 1 species